GGUUAAGCGACUAAGCGUACACGGUGGAUGCCCUGGCAGUCAGAGGCGAUGAAGGGCGUGCUAAUCUGCGAUAAGCGCCGGUAAGGUGAUAUGAACCGUUAUAACCGGCGAUACCCGAAUGGGGAAACCCAGUGUGACUCGUCACACUAUCAUUAACUGAAUCCAUAGGUUAAUGAGGCGAACCGGGGGAACUGAAACAUCUAAGUACCCCGAGGAAAAGAAAUCAACCGAGAUUCCCCCAGUAGCGGCGAGCGAACGGGGAGGAGCCCAGAGCCUGAAUCAGCAUGUGUGUUAGUGGAAGCGUCUGGAAAGGCGCGCGAUACAGGGUGACAGCCCCGUACACAAAAGCGCAUAUGCUGUGAGCUCGAUGAGUAGGGCGGGACACGUGGUAUCCUGUCUGAAUAUGGGGGGACCAUCCUCCAAGGCUAAAUACUCCUGACUGACCGAUAGUGAACCAGUACCGUGAGGGAAAGGCGAAAAGAACCCCGGCGAGGGGAGUGAAAAAGAACCUGAAACCGUGUACGUACAAGCAGUGGGAGCCCCACCACCAAAGCAUUCUCUGGUGUUGAAGGCCCUGCAAAGCAGCAUCGCGGUGGCGGAGCGUCGUUUGCGACGCCCAACACACAAAACAAGCGGUGAAUGCUUUG
rnacentral:rRNA from 1 species